rnacentral:rRNA from 1 species
UACGUAGGGUGCAAGCGUUGUCCGGAAUUAUUGGGCGUAAAGAGCUCGUAGGCGGUUUGUCGCGUCUGCUGUGAAAACGCGAGGCUCAACCUCGCGCCUGCAGUGGGUACGGGCAGACUAGAGUGCGGUAGGGGAGAUUGGAAUUCCUGGUGUAGCGGUGGAAUGCGCAGAUAUCAGGAGGAACACCGGUGGCGAAGGCGGGUCUCUGGGCCGGAACUGACGCUGAGGAGCGAAAGCGUGGGGAGCGAACAGG